AUGAUACAGUCCAAGCACCUGGAUGAUGAGUAUGAGAGCAGCGAGGAGGAGAGAGAGACUCCCGCGGUCCCACCCACCUGGAGAGCAUCACAGCCCUCAUUGACGGUGCGGGCUCAGUUGGCCCCUCGGCCCCCGAUGGGCCCGAGGUCCCAGAUACCCUCAAGGCACGUACUGUGCCUGCCCCCCCGCAACGUGACCCUUCUGCAGGAGAGGGCAAAUAAGUUGGUGAAAUACCUGAUGAUUAAGGACUACAAGAAGAUCCCCAUCAAGCGCGCAGACAUGCUGAAGGAUGUCAUCAGAGAAUAUGAUGAACAUUUCCCUGAGAUCAUUGAACGAGCAACGUACACCCUGGAAAAGGUGGGUGCAGGAUGGGAGCAGCUCUGUGGGGGAAGAGCGGGCAUGGGGGUGCGGUGACCCUGCAGCCCCUCAAGGCCCAGUCUCUGGAGCCAUCUCUCACCUCUCCGACUCUGAGCUUCCACUGCACUGGCAGUUUGACUCGUGCUUCCUGCCCUCGGCUUCUCUCUCUCAUGCUCUCUGAGUGUCUCGCCGUCUGGCCAGGUGGGUCUCAUCGCCUCUGCCAGCGUCAGCUCCCACAGCGAAGGUCUUCCGUGUGCUGUCUUCUUCUGCCCUCGCUCACGAGUUUGGAUUCCUUGCUGAGGAGCAGUUCUAACCCGGAAUCACUGUCUGCCGGCAGGAUGCCCAGCAUGGGGUUUGGAUCUCACACUCUGUUUUCUCCCCCACGUAGAAGUUUGGGAUCCACCUGAAGGAGAUCGACAAGGAAGAACACCUGUAUAUUCUUGUCUGCACACGGGACUCCUCAGCUCGCCUCCUUGGAAAAACCAAGGACACUCCCAGGCUGAGUCUCCUCUUGGUGAUUCUGGGCGUCAUCUUCAUGAAUGGCAACCGUGCCAGCGAGGCUGUCCUCUGGGAGGCACUACGCAAGAUGGGACUGCGCCCUGGGUAUGAUUGGCCUCUCCAGCUCCUCCCCUCGGUGCUAUCCUCUGGCCAAAGAGGUCCUGGGAUUGCAAUAGCCUGGUGGUCUGGCGCAAGGGCGUGGGGUGCCCUGGGCUCGGUAGAGAGCAAAGGAUCUCACCAGGGCGGAUGGGGAAGCGGUGCUGGAUGCUGCUCAGCCCUCUCUCUGCUCUGUGGCCCCAGAUGACAUCUAAGAGAGACAGUCAGAGUCAGGGGUUCCAUCAAAUCCCUACCUGGGGCGUCCCUGACCAACAGUCCUCUGGCCUCUGCUGCAUGCCCAGGCCUCCACAGCGACUCCCCGGGGGCUGGGAAGUCAUAGUCAUGCUAGGGAGGGCCCCUGCCACCGUCUCUGCUCAUGGAUUCCUUUCCUUGCCCUCAGGGUGAGGCACCCAUUCCUCGGCGAUCUGAGGAAGCUCAUCACAGAUGACUUUGUGAAGCAGAAGUAAGUAUCACCUGAGCUAACUGCGGCUCUCACUCGAGCAUCCUUUGUGUGCUGGUCUGGCUGAGAAAGCAGUUCCCUAUCCCAAAUCUUCAACUGGAGGGAUGGGUGCCUCUGACCUGGGAGUGAGUGGCAGUGGGGGUAUGCGAGUGUGUGGGGAGCCGAAGGCCAGGGCGGUCUUGGGAAAAGGGAGCUCACGUCACCUGAGAACACGGUGUGGGGUGUGAAAACGGCCGCCAUCACCUUGAGCACCUGCCCUGUAGACUGACACAAAGAGUUCCCCCUGGUUUACACCUAAGGAACCCGGAGCUCAGAGAGGAGACGCCUCUGAGCAUGGCUCCCAGCUGGUAAGGGCCUCAGCCCAACUCUCCUGAUUUUCAGGCCAGGGGCCACCCUCUCCCCGUCCCUGGAGGACUUGCCAAAGCACAGGCGCGCAUGCACACCAACAAAGGGUCAGGACUUGAGGAGGAUGCCUGGAGCACGCUUCUCCUGGCUGACUGUUUCUUCCUCUCCAGUCGUUUCCUCUGGUGGGCCUCUCCAGGGCUCCGCCGGGGUGUGGCCAAGACCCUGGAGGUGGGGUGUGCUCAGAGCAGGGGGCCUGAAGAAUGGCUCCUCUGUUUACAACACACCCAACAGGAAGCUGGGGUCAUCGUGAUGAGGGGCACAAACUUGUGGCCUCCCUACAGACAAACGCCCUACAUGUGGCCCCCCUGUACCUCCGCAUGGCUUCCGGGGAGGACCAAUGGCAAAAGGCUUUGAAGGCCUCACUUUUGCAGGCAGAAGUCCUGGGAGUGGGUUUGGGAAUGAGUGAAGGGCUGGAGGGGCAGGACAGUCCUCUUCCAGGAGCUGAGCUGCGGCAUCGGGUUGAGGAGGGGCCCCCUGGAACCCAUCCGUUCAGCAACAGGUCUGCUUGGCUAGAAGCAAAGUUUACUUUCCUCUCAUGCCAAGGUACCUGGAAUACAAGAAGAUCCCCAACAGCAACCCACCUGAGUAUGAAUUCCUCUGGGGCCUGCGAGCCCGCCAUGAGACCAGCAAGAUGAGGGUCCUGAGAUUCAUCGCCCAGAAUCAGAACCGAGAUCCCCGGGAAUGGAAGGCUCAUUUCUUGGAGGCUGUGGAUGAUGCUUUCAAGACAAUGGAUGUGGAUAUGGCCGAGGAACAUGCCAGGGCCCAGAUGAGGGCCCAGAUGAAUAUCGGGGAUGAAGCGCUGAUUGGACGGUGGAGCUGGGAUGACAUACAAGUCGAGCUCCUGACCUGGGAUGAGGACGGAGAUUUUGGCGAUGCCUGGGCCAGGAUCCCCUUUGCUUUCUGGGCCAGAUACCAUCAGUACAUUCUGAAUAGCAACCGUGCCAACAGGAGGGCCACCUUCUUCUCCUGGAUCCAGUAAGAGUUUCGGCACCGUUGACGAACUGCAGCGAUCUUACUGGCCAAGCCAGAGCGCCUCCUCUCAGAUUCCUUCUCGACACAGCACCCUAGGCGGCUUCUUCCUGUCAGUCGGAGGUGGCAUGCAAGAUGAAGCUCUCUUUGCUCUUCCUGCUUUCAUUUUGUGCUUUUCCUUGUGCUUUCAUGUUUUGGGUAUCAGUGUUACAUUAAAGUUGCAAAAUUAA
rnacentral:sRNA from 1 species